rnacentral:ncRNA from 1 species
UGAAUAGGCAAAACUAGAGAAAUCUAGUGAUGCAAAGCUAUAGGGGCUAAGGUACAUGCUAUGCUAGCCAGUUGCCAA